GAUGAACGCUGGCGGCGUGCCUAAUACAUGCAAGUCGAGCGAACAGACGAGGAGCUUGCUCCUCUGACGUUAGCGGAGGACGGGUGAGUAACACGUGGAUAACCUACCUAUAAGACUGGGAUAACUUCGGGAAACCGGAGAUAAUACCGGAUAAUAUAUUGAACCGCAUGGUUCAAUAGUGAAAGACGGUUUUGCUGUCACGUAUAGAUGGAUCCGCGCCGCAUUAGCUAGUUGGUAAGGUAACGGCUUACCAAGGCAACGAUGCGUAGCCGACCUGAGAGGGUGAUCGGCCACACUGGAACUGAGACACGCUCCAGACUCCUACGGGAGGCAGCAGUAGGAAAUCUUCCGCAAUGGGCGAAAGCCUGACGGAGCAACGCCGCGUGAGUGAUGAAGGUCUUCGGUUCGUAAAACUCUGUUAUUAGUGAAGAACAAAUGUGUAAGUAACUAUGCACUUCUUGACGGUACCUAAUCAGAAAGCCACGGCUAACUACGUG
rnacentral:rRNA from 1 species